CUACGAUGCAUGGACACGCGAGAAAGCAACCGUAUCCCGUAUCUGACACGCUGAGGAUACGGAUACGCGGAUGAUACGCGUGGAUACGCGUUCGAUACGUAUUGGAGUGAAAGGAUACGUUUGGGACUGAUGAGAUACGCGUAUCGUAUUGUCCAGAUACGUGUAUCCUACUUUUCGGAUACAUUUGAAAACUGAAAUAGGAGGAUAAUCACAAAAAAAAAAUCACAAAAAAUCCGCAUAGAAUCGUGAUUGAUCGAACUUAGUUAACUGAAAUCACUCUAAAAUCAAAGGAUAAUCAGAAAAAAAAUAUUCGGAUUUACCUCUCAGAAAUCACUCUGCUUGGGAGACUUUCACGAAUCCCCAUUGACCGUCAUCUGCAACUGUUCCGUGACCCGUCGUCGUCUCCAUCUGCAACUGCGCCGUCGUCUCCCUCUUCUUCGUCUACAACUGCUCCGUCGUCUCCUUCGUCUGUCUGCAACUCCUGGUGAGUCGUAACCGGUGAGCUU
rnacentral:lncRNA from 1 species